UAUCAAGGUAACAGAGUUCCUGUCACACUGUGUCUAGAGGACUGCAUAGCUACAGCUAUUAGGAGCGCAACAGCAAGCCAAAGUCAGGAAGCAGAGACACAGACCGCUGCUGCACACAUUUGUCUAUGUAUUUCUCGUCAUGCUCGUAGCGUCUAUAGGAGAAGAGGAGAAAUGAUUCAUCUGGUGAAGACAUGCACCAGCUCUGCAGUUUAUGGAAAAGAAGCAGUUUUGUUGCAUGAGUUCAAAAGGCGAUGUAAAGCAUUGGGAACUGCCAGCAACAUCAACCAAGCAUUUGGCCAGGGGACCAUCAGUGAACGUACAGCUUGACAUUGGCUCCAAAACUUUCUCAAUGGAAACAAGAGCCUAGAAAAUAAGGAGGAUCACGGACACGCUUCUGUAAUCAACAACCUAAUGAGGGCCAGAAUUGAAGCAGAUUCACGCAGAACAACUCAAGAAGUUGCAGAAGAACUAAAUGUGGACCACUUAACAGUUUUUUGACAUUUGCACUGAAUUGGAAAAAUCAAAAAAGUUCAACAAAUGGGUACUGCAGGGGCUGAAUGAUAAUUUAAAAAAAUGUCUUGGUGAAGUCUGCUCUAUGCUUCCUUCGUGCAAAAAAAAGAUCCACUUCUUGAUCACUUUGUGACAUGUGAUGGAAAAUGGAUUUUAUACAAUAACCAGUGGUAUUCUGUGUAGUGGUUGGACCGAGGUGAAGCAUUAAAACACUUCCCCAAAAUAAAGCUUUGUCAAAAGAAGGUUAUGGUCACUAUUUGGCAAGUGGAAUCAUCCACUACAACUUCUUGAAACCUGGAAAAACCAUCACAGCAGAGAAGUGUUGCCAGGAAAUUGACAAAAUUAACCAAGAACUGCAACGUCUGUGUCCAACAUCAGUCAAUUGAAAAGGACCAGUUCUUCUCCAUGACAACACCCAACUGUCUUACAAAUGACUCUGCAGAAGCUGCACAAACUGGGCUAUGAAACCCUAUCUCACCUAGCUUAAUGACCAGACCUCUCUACCACUAAUUACCACAUUUUCAAGCAUCUCAGCAACUUCCUGUAAGAGAAGGUUUUCCAUAACCAAAGAGCAGCUUAAAAAAAGGUCCUCAAAAAAUUAAUCAGUUUCAGGACUCCAGAAUUCUAUGCCACCAGAAUAGACAGACAUGUUUCUUCUUGGCAAAAAUGCACAGAUGCUAAUGUUUCUUAGUUCAAGUAAUACUUUUUAUACUAAGCUGAAAUAUACUGCUUUAAAGUUGAUGGUUAAAAACACCGUCUGCUUUUGCACCAACUAAGCAAAUUUUACAUCAAGCUGAAACUGUUAAUUAAACUCUGAUUUGGAUUAUUUCCUCCUCUUCCUACAGUAUUUUACUAUUACAGAUGGUUCACAUAUUAAAAAAUAAUAAAUAAGUUACAUUCAACUCUAGCUUUGCUGUCAAAAAACCAACAUGAUAUUCAAACAAAAAUAUAGUAAAUGUAAGGGAAUGCAUCCUGCCAUCUGCAUAUUCUGUCCUGACCAAAUAAAUUGAUACAUCACAGUAAUAUUAAAGAUUCACAUACACUUAUGUAUAUUUCUGUUAACCAAACUAUUUUCAGUAUUUUGCCAGUGGCUGAAGUAAAGAGGAAGCACUUCCUUUGGUUUUCCCAUACUUUCUAACAGUCAGACCUAUUUCACUACAGAAUUUCUUUCUAUACAAGUAAAAGACAAAGGGGAAAAAGAUAGUGAAAAACUUGGAAAACAGGCUGCUUGAAUCUGCAGUGUUAGAAAACGUUAUGGUGAGACUAGGAAGAUAACCACAGGUUUCUUUCACAACCAAAUAAGCCCUGCAUUUGUUACACUCCAUCUGUGUUGCUCAGUUUUGUUCAGGGAUGUAAUUAUUUUUAAAAGGAAAUUUUUCCCUAUGACCACUGAGCCUUUUCAGUAAACAAGGUUAAUUCACUUAGUCUUUAUCAGUCAUUUUCAGACAUUCACGUGAUCAUAAACCAGAAUAAUGGAACUUCAAGGCAGAUUUGGCAGUAGUUUUCACUGGGGCUUGAAUCCAAAAGUCUUCAUAUUUUCUGAAGUAUUUGUCCUCCCUCAUCCCUUUUUCUUCUUGGCUUUCUAUUUUACUUGUCUCUAUAAUGUGAGACAGGUCUACAUUAAAAUUUAUCUGACAGUAUAUACAGCUGGCAAGAAUACAACAGGAAACCUUUUUCCCUUUGCACAAAAACAUACAAACCCCACAUCACUGAAGAAUCUAAAGGACAGCUGGAAACAUCUCUGAUGUUUUCAUUUACUUUUCUUAUUUACUUGCUUUCGAAAAACUACCCCUGUUCUAGAUUGUGUAAACAACAAGCAUUGACAACAAAAAUUUAACAGGAUUAGUUUAAGUUAUUAAAAAACAAACCCCCAAAAUUAAUGCUACCUUUGCAUCUUCAGGGCAAAUUAUGGACAAAUAAACAGGUAUUAUAGUAUCCCCUAACAGAAAACAAAAUCAGCUGAAUGAAAAAGGAAAUGCAAAUCUGAAGUAGCAAUUCAAUCGCAUAAUUUUCUUUCCACUGAAAAUGUUCUGCCCUCCACAUUUAGAGUUUCAAAAUUAAUGUUUCACAGGCUGAUAUCGCUUGCCAGCUGAUACACGAAUGAGGCAGCAGCAAAACACUACGCUACAUUGAAAAAUAUUGAAAUAGUAAUAGUUAUUAAUGAAGCAUUACUGCUGAUAAUAUUUGAAUCAAAUCCGGGAAACAUUCUGCAAACAAUUUACGUGAUUCAGAAUCCAAUUUAAAGGAUGUCACUGCUACAUGCAAUGAGAAACAACUUUCAGCAAUUAAAUAUAAAAUAUUCUCAAAGAUCAGCGAGAAAAGGAUCAAGUUCUAUGAGCUAUUUCACGAUAAUCUGUAGAGGAAGAUAAAUGUAGUUUAUCAGUUCUAGUGCAAUCCACUCUUCCGGUCAUUGACAACAUAAAAAGAAUUCAAAAGAAAAUUAGUUUUCUCGCCUAAUGCUAGUAUGAGAUCUAUUCAUAUUUUCACAAAUGUGCUCAAAAAUUCCGUGAUUAAGACUACAGAGACAAAGUUGAUAGUUUUACUAACCUACCUCUUUAUAAACUCUGAAAUAUUCAAAGUGUUUGUAACCGUAUCAACUUCAC